GACGUAGGGAGCGAGCGUUGUCCGGAUUCAUUGGGCGUAAAGAGCGCGUAGGCGGCGCGGGUAAGUACGGGUGUGAAAUCUCGGAGCUUAACUCCGAAACUGCAUUCGAUACUGCCGUGCUUGGAGGACUGGAGAGGAGACUGGAAUUUACGGUGAGCGGUGAAAUGCGUAGAUAUCGUAAGGAAGACCAGUGGCGAAGGCGGGUCU
rnacentral:rRNA from 1 species